GGAAGGAAUCUGUUUACUGCUUGUUUUCUAGAAGACAAGCUUGAGAAACCAGAGAAGCCUGUAAAUGGAGAAGACAAGGGUGACUCAGGUGUAGAUACCCAAAAUAGCGAAGGGAAUGCAGAUGAAGAAGAUCCACUUGGACCCAACUGCUACUAUGACAAAACCAAGUCCUUCUUUGAUAAUAUCUCCUGUGAUGACAAUAGGGAACGUCGACCAACCUGGGCUGAGGAAAGAAGAUUGAAUGCAGAGACCUUUGGAAUACCACUGCGUCCUAAUCGUGGCCGUGGAGGGUUCCGAGGCAGAGGGGGGAUUGGUUUCCGAGGUGGAAGAGGACGAGGAGGUGGAAGAGGUGGUUUCACUACUCCCCGUGGUUUCCGUGGUGGUUUCAGAGGAGGUCGUGGAGGCAGGGAGUUUGCUGACUUUGAAUAUAGGAAAGACAACAAAGUUGCUGCAUAGUCUACAGGAAAGCUGAAACUGCGUGAACGUCUAGAUCUUCUUGAUCCAGAGAAUUAGUUUCAAUCUCUGCAAAGAAUGAAGUUAAUUUGCUGUAUACUUGUCACCAGCACUGGGAUUUAACUAUUUAAUUUCAAAGGGGUGUAAUGCAGUUACUUUUUGAAAAAUGGCCAUCUUUGAAAACAGUGAGCAUUAAAUAUAUUUGAGACAGAAGGAUAAGUAAUUUCUUAUGUAUAGUUAAUUAUAAAGCAGUACUUCGAUGGAGUUUAAGUAUUUUUUCAUCACUGAAAGGAUUUUUCUUAUUACUAAACUGUAUUUGAUAAUUGCUUCAAGUUGUAAGGACAAUUGUAUGCAGAAGGCCGUCGAUACUGUGAGUGUUUUGAUCCACUGAAGGUUGUUUUUUUGGAAAUCCUGUAAUAUCCCUUUUGAGAUGGUUGUACUUUAUCAACUAGGGUGCUGGACAGUAGAAAACUUGCUUUGUCAGUCAGAUAUGUACACACAGUAAAUACUGUUUCUUAGGCAAAGGAAACUUUUUAUAUAGUUGUAAAAUUCCAUUAUAUCCCAUUGCCAAAGAAACGUUACAAACUUUGUAUAGCUGUAUAAAAAGCAACUAAUUUUUUAAAGAAUAAACAUUUUUAAGUCUGCAAACAUACUGUGUUAUUGCAGAAGUUGAUAUGCUGAAGAACACUGAAUUAGUUGUGUUUUUUUCUUUAGCAGCUUUUUGGGCUUAAAUUUGAUUUUAUAUUUGGAGUAUAAUGAAGAUUUCAAAUGUUCUUCCAUUACACAAAACUGGAUACACUCUUCGCUUCUCUUGCAAGCAAUUGAUUUUGUAGUUUCUGGCAUAUCACAGGAUUUGACCAAAUGAAAGAGAUAUUUUUCAAAUGAGGACAAAAUAAAUUUCAUAUGUCCAAAUUUUCAAUUAAUUUUACUUAGUGAUAAAUAUUAACUUUUUUUUUAAUAAUGGACUAGGCACAUGAGUUAAAGCGAUUCUUCUGGAAUGCCUGGGCCAGAAGUAUGUCUGCAUUUGUCAGUUUUUGGAACGUUAACUUUGUUGUAAUACCUGUAGACAUAAGCAAUUGAGGAAUUAGUGUUUGGAGUUGUUUGCAUUUGAUAGGCCAUAGCUUGGAGAAGAUGAGAACCUGGUUCUAAGAUAUUGCAUCCGCAAAUGACAUAGUAUGAACUUUUUGCCAGUUCUGAUGCCUAGUUCCACCUUGUGGAUACGCUGAAAUAGAGACCCGGUCAUUUGUGUCUGUAUGUGUAUGUGAAGGCCACAGGAAUAAAGGGAUCCAAAGAUUAAACGUUUUGAUCUAAUUUACUGAUUUUUUUUUUUUUUU